CCUCCCUCCCUCUCUUCCUUCUUGUUUCAACACUGGGAUGGAACCCACAGCUUUGCCCAUGACCUGCACCCCGAGCCCACAAGUCAUUCCUUUCAAAUGUAUUUUCCAACUGAAAUACCAGGGAUGGAGAAAUAAUUUUUGCAUACUUAAGAACAAAGAAAAUAUCCACCCUUCCCCUCAAAACCACCAAGAAACAAAAAUCAUCCACACAUCCUGGAUAAACACCCUCCGUGUGUUUAAGUUGAGUAAGAAGGCAGCACUUGUGUAAUUCCCAGGCCCCGAGAAUGGCAAAGGUCUGUUCCUCCUCUGUGCCGACCCUUGGGUGUGGCUGGGACAGCCCAGGGGACAGGCAGACAGGCUGUCCACUGCUGAGGUCCUGGUGUGGCGACACAGGCAGGAGGUGGGACAUCUGCAGGGCGAGGCAGGACCUGGAAGGGAACACAGGGGCUGAGGAGAAGGGACCUGGUCCAGGCUGGACGGCUGAGGAGGCGGCCUCCUAUGUGACAGCAGAGCCAGAGGGAAGGGAGUGGGCCAGGGUCCCGGCAGAGAGAGCCCGAGCCUCGGGAGAACUGUGUACCCUGAGGAGACCCGAAGAGGGAGAUGGAGACUGAAGCACGGAGACAUGCUGGGGCUUCAGAGGCCUCCACACGCUGCCCAGUCCUUGCUCACUGCCCUUCAAUUCAGCCUUGGAUUGUUUUGCCAAGAAUUUUUAAAGGCGCUGCUGUAGGAGAGGGAGUCUCCUGUCAGUCAGAAGGUGUCGGGUACAGCAAAGAUCUCGAAUAAACAUCACACCUCAAGGAAACAGAAAAAGAAGCGAAAACCAAGCCCAAUAUUAGCAGAAGAAAAAAUACUAAACACCAGAGCAGGAAUAAAUGAAAUAGAGACUAGAGGGGGAUGUAGCAGCACAGGCCUAUAAUCCCAGAAUUCUGGAGGCUGAGGCAGGAUGAUUCAAGCUCAUGGUCAGCCUGAGCGACACAGCCAGACCCUGCCUUAAAAGCCACACUAGAAAGGUAACACAAAAUAUCAACAAAAUUAAGAGUUAGUCUUCCUUUUCCUCUUCCUCUUCUUUCUCCUCUUCCUUCUUCCUCUUCCUUUUCAGGUAGGGAAGAUUGAACCCGGAGACAUUCUGCUAGCGAUGCCCAGCCCCUUUUCAUUUUUUAUUUUGAGACAGGGUCUGGCUAAGUUAUUCGGACUUGUCUUAAACUUGUGAUCCCCUUGCUGAUCCUGCCCAGCAAGAGUCGAUUCUUUGAAAAGAUAAAACCAAUCAACCUUAGGCUAAACUAAGAAACAAAAGGGAAGAGACUCAAUUAAAUGACAUUAGAAAUGAAAAAAAAGACAUAUUACAGCCACUGUAGACAUACAAAGGACCCUAACAGACUAUUGUGAACAAUCAAACACCAACAAAUGAGAUACCUGUAAGACACGGACACAUGCUAGACACAGACUGCCCAAGAAGAUUGAGCUGAGAAGAGCUAGAAACCAGAUCAGUAGCAGGUAAGGAAAUCGAGCUAGUGACUAAAAGUCUCCUACCUGAAAGACAGAACAAAGCCGGAGAACUGAUUAUUUCACGGCCGAAUUCUAACAAAUAUUUAAAGAAGUGCUAAUCUAGAUCCUUUGUAAACUUUCCCCAAGAAACUGAAGAGGAGGGAAUACUUCUAAAGUCUC
ensembl:lncRNA